CACGCCGUAAACGAUGUCGAUUUGGAGGCUGUGUCCUUGAGACGUGGCUUCCGGAGCUAACGCGUUAAAUCGACCGCCUGGGGAGUACGGCCGCAAGGUUAAAACUCAAAUGAAUUGACGGGGGCCCGCACAAGCGGUGGAGCAUGUGGUUUAAUUCGAUGCAACGCGAAAAACCUUACCCACCUUUGACAUGUACGGAAUCCUUUAGAGAUAGAGGAGUGCUCGAAAGAGAGCCGUAACACAGGUGC
rnacentral:rRNA from 1 species